rnacentral:rRNA from 1 species
AUUGAACGCUGGCGGCAGGCCUAACACAUGCAAGUCGAACGGUAACAGGAAGCAGCUUGCUGCUUUGCUGACGAGUGGCGGACGGGUGAGUAAUGUCUGGGAAACUGCCUGAUGGAGGGGGAUAACUACUGGAAACGGUAGCUAAUACCGCAUAACGUCGCAAGACCAAAGAGGGGGACCUUCGGGCCUCUUUCCAUCGGAUGUGCCCAGAUGGGAUUAGCUAGUAGGUGGGGUAACGGCUCACCUAGGCGACGAUCCCUAGCUGGUCUGAGAGGAUGACCAGCCACACUGGAACUGAGACACGGUCCAGACUCCUACGGGAGGCAGCAGUGGGGAAUAUUGCACAAUGGGCGCAAGCCUGAUGCAGCCAUGCCGCGUGUAUGAAGAAGGCCUUCGGGUUGUAAAGUACUUUCAGCGGGGAGGAAGGGAGUAAAGUUAAUACCUUUGCUCAUUGACGUUACCCGCAGAAGAAGCACCGGCUAACUCCGUG